CUUAAAAAUGGGGCAGCAGAUAGCCUAGUGGUUAGAGCAGGUAGCCUAGUGGUUAGAGCAGGUAGCCUAGUGGUUAGAGCAGGUAGCCUAGUGGUUAGAGCAGGUAACCUAGUGGUUAGAGCAGGUAGCCUAGUGGUUAGAGCAGGUAGCCUAGUGGUUAGAGCAGGUAGUCUAGUGGUUAGAGCAGGUAGCCUAGUGGUUAGAGCAGGUAGCCUAGUGGUUAGAGCAGGUAGUCUAGUGGUUAGAGCAGGUAGUCUAGUGGUUAGAGCAGGUAGUCUAGUGGUUAGAGCAGGUAGUCUAGUGGUUAGAGCAGGUAGCCUAGUGGUUAGAGCAGGUAGUCUAGUGGUUAGAGCAGGUAACCUAGUGGUUAGAGCAGGUAGCCUAGUGGUUAGAGCAGGUAGCCUAGUGGUUAGAGCAGGUAGCCUAGUGGUUAGAGCAGGUAGCCUAGUGGUUAGAGCAGGUAGUCUAGUGGUUAGAGCAGGUAGCCUAGUGGUUAGAGCAGGUAGCCUAGUGGUUAGAGCAGGUAGUCUAGUGGUUAGAGCAGGUAGCCUAGUGGUUAGAGCAGGUAACCUAGUGGUUAGAGCAGGUAGUCUAGUGGUUAGAGCAGGUAGCCUAGUGGUUAGAGCAGGUAGCCUAGUGGUUAGAGCAGGUAGCCUAGUGGUUAGAGCAGGAAGCCUAGUGGUUAGAGCAGGAAGCCUAGUGGUUAGAGACAGGUAGCCUAGUGGUUAGAGCAGGAAGCCUAGUGGUUAGAGCAGGAAGCCUAGUGG